rnacentral:rRNA from 1 species
UACGAAGGGGGCUAGCGUUGCUCGGAAUCACUGGGCGUAAAGGGUGCGUAGGCGGGUCUUUAAGUCAGGGGUGAAAUCCUGGAGCUCAAACUCCAGAACUGCCUUUGAUACUGAGGAUCUUGAGUUCGGGAGAGGUGAGUGGAACUGCGAGUGUAGAGGUGAAAAUUCGUAGAUAUUCGCAAGAACACCAGUGGCGAAAGGCGGCUCACUGGCCCGAUACUGACGCUGAGGCACGAAAGCGUGGGGAGCAAACAGGG